CGCUGGCAAGGAUUCAGUUGGGGUUUAACAGCCACUCGGGACGGUAGCGCGCGCCGCUCAAACUUGUUGCGAGACCAAUUUUCCGAAAAUCCCAAAUUCUCUGCGGUGCAUUGGCCAGUUCACCCAAAAACACCCACACACACCAUCACUGUCUCACUUUCGUUUCGCGAUUGAUUGCCAGCUCUCCGGAGACCAAGAACCAAAAUAAUAGAAAAAGGCACCCGAUACCAAACCGCAAACCGAUCGAGUUACAAAAAAAAACACAAAAAUAAAGAAACUAAACAAAAGUAAAUCGCCUAGCAAAGAGCCUUCAAGACGGCAGCCACAAUUUCCAGCGCAGGAUUAGGAGGAGACGUCGCCGCGUACGCUGAUCUCCACCAGCACUCGCAUUCGCACCAUCCGAAUCCGCAUCCACAUCCGCAUCCACAUCCCCAUCCGUUUGCCACCGACGGCUUCAAGCUGCGUUCCGAAGAGCCGGUGCCGGGCUUCAGCUCGGCCUCCCCCUGGCCCACCCUGGAGCUGGGCAUGGAGUGGGGCCGGAAGCUGUACCCCAGUGCCGUUUCCGGUCCGCGAUCCGCCAGCGGCCUGAUGUUCGGCCUGCCGCCCACCGCCGCUGUGGACAUGAACCAGCCGCGUGGACCGAUGACCUCGCUGAAGGAGGAGCCGCUGGGCAGCCGGUGGGCCAUGCAGCCAGUCGUCGACCAGAGCAAUUUGGGCAUCGGCCGCGCCCACUUUGAGAAGCAGCCGCCCAGCAAUUUGCGCAAGUCGAACUUCUUCCACUUCGUGAUCGCCUUAUAUGAUCGGGCUGGACAGCCCAUCGAGAUUGAGCGCACGGCCUUCAUUGGAUUCAUCGAGAAGGACUCGGAGUCGGACGCCACCAAGACGAACAAUGGCAUCCAGUACCGACUGCAGUUGCUCUACGCAAAUGGAGCUCGCCAGGAGCAGGACAUUUUCGUGCGACUCAUCGAUUCGGUGACCAAGCAGGCCAUCAUAUACGAGGGUCAGGACAAGAAUCCCGAGAUGUGCCGCGUGCUCCUAACGCACGAGGUGAUGUGCAGCCGCUGCUGUGAUAAGAAGAGCUGUGGUAACCGCAACGAGACGCCAUCGGACCCCGUCAUUAUUGAUCGCUUCUUCCUGAAGUUCUUCUUGAAGUGCAAUCAAAACUGCCUGAAGAACGCCGGCAACCCGCGGGAUAUGCGCCGAUUUCAGGUGGUAAUUUCUACGCAGGUGGCCGUGGAUGGACCACUACUGGCCAUCUCCGACAACAUGUUCGUGCACAACAACUCGAAGCACGGACGGAGGGCCAAGCGGCUGGACACCACGGAAGGUACAGGCAACACAUCCCUGUCCAUUUCCGGUCACCCCCUAGCGCCCGACAGUACCUACGAUGGUCUUUACCCACCGCUGCCAGUGGCCACGCCGUGCAUUAAGGCGAUCUCGCCCAGCGAAGGCUGGACAACCGGUGGCGCCACCGUGAUCAUAGUGGGCGACAACUUCUUCGAUGGCCUCCAGGUUGUGUUCGGUACCAUGCUGGUCUGGAGCGAGCUGAUCACCUCGCAUGCCAUCCGGGUGCAGACACCGCCCAGGCACAUUCCCGGCGUGGUGGAGGUGACGCUGUCCUACAAGAGCAAACAGUUCUGCAAGGGAUCACCCGGUCGCUUCGUCUAUGUCUCAGCUCUCAACGAACCCACAAUCGACUACGGUUUCCAGCGCCUGCAGAAGCUCAUUCCCCGGCAUCCCGGCGAUCCCGAGAAGCUCCAAAAGGAGAUAAUCCUCAAGAGGGCCGCCGAUCUGGUCGAGGCACUAUACUCCAUGCCCAGCAGAUCUCCGGGCGGUUCGACGGGCUUCAAUUCCUAUGCGGGCCAACUGGCGGUCAGUGUCCAGGAUGGUACCGGCCAGUGGACCGAGGACGACUACCAGCGUGCCCAGUCGAGCAGCGUGAGUCCACGCGGUGGCUACUGCAGCAGCGCCUCCACGCCGCACAGCUCGGGAGGAUCCUACGGUGCCACGGCGGCCAGUGCAGCGGUGGCGGCCACGGCGAAUGGAUAUGCACCUACACCCAACAUGGGCACACUCUCCUCGUCGCCCGGCAGCGUCUUCAACUCCACGUCAAUGUCCGCCGUGUCGUCGACGUGGCACCAGGCGUUCGUGCAGCACCACCACGCGGCAACGGCCCACCCGCACCACCACUACCCACAUCCCCACCAGCCGUGGCACAAUCCGGCCGUGUCAGCAGCCACGGCGGCGGCCGUUUAAGCGUUUCCCGGACUCCCCAUGCCAGCCAGAUGGAGCUGAACGCAGGAUGAAGAUGUGGAGGAGGAUGAGGAUGAUGUACCAGGUUGAGCCGGACUUUUGGGGCCGAGUAACGACAUUUUGUUGAAAUUAAAUGCCACACGCCCAACACCACCCACAACCACCCACAAACCACCCACAAGUCCGAGCGAAAAGCGCACACACACGGCCAGACACCAUCUAUCAAUCCGAAACUGCAAGGACGCCCACAAUUGGCCCUCGGGUGUGUGAAUGGGUGUGUGGAUGGGGCCGCUGAAGCAAAACUGAGCAUUCAAAACACUACUCCACCAUCAACAAAACACCACAGACAACACACGAUUAACGGGGUCAGCAGUCUGAGCUUCAAUCCCUUCGCCCUGCCCACCUGCAACACACAGGGCUACAGCACCCAACUGGUGACGUCAACCAAAUAAUAUUACUACUAAAUGAGGCUAUUGGCAGGCCCCAAGUCCCCAAAUCUCCCCCUGGAGUCACAGAUACCACGCCAAUCCACAAGAAGCUCGAAAGUGCAAUAAACAGAUGAAAAUGGUUCCAAAAUUCAAAAAUCUAUUGAUAUAGUUGUAAAUUUUUUGAUUGAAUCCCGUUUAUAACUUAUUUUGAAUAUGCCUCGGUAAUAGAUUUAUAAACAUACGCAUAGAACACCAUAUCAAAGUAAAGGAAAACAUAUGAGAGAUGGGAAGGGCAUAUCAUGCAAGGGGCUCAAGAACCCAGUAGUUAAGAUCGGGCAGAAAUAGUUCUAAAAUAGCUUGAUAAAAUGCAUUUUGUAAAUAUUUAUCCCAAAGUAAAUAAAACUUAAUAAUAAUCGGAACUGUGAAUAGAGGAAAUUAUACAAAAUAUUUACCCAUGAUGAUCAAUUCUAAUACGAAUCAAGAUAUACCAAAACAGAUACAAUUUGAAUGAACUUUUGGACAUAACUAAAUGCUUGUAUACGAUACUUUCUUGGAUUAAUAUCGAAAAUAUUGAAAAAAAAAGUCUUGAAAAUACACUCUGCCAGUCGAGAGAACCGAAAUCAAAAUGUUAUAUACCUACAUAGAUAUACAAGCCAGAUUUGCAGCAUAUCUAAGCGUAAUAUUACAACAAAUUUAUACCAAACUUUUGGCAAACAUAUCGUGCACUUAGUCCUAAUAUCCACCUAAAACAAACCCAAACACAUCACUACUCAAACAUAUUUGUAUAAUGCCCAUCAUAUCCACAAUUCGAAAUUCAUUUUGAUCGAACCACUGUCUAUCAAAAUCAACACCAAAUCAUCAUUAGACAUACAUUCAUACAUUUCGCUAUUCAAGUCAGUGUUUGAUAAACUACCGAUUUGUUGACUAGAAGCUAAGCCUAGCAUACACCGGGAAAUGAUAUCUGGGGGUGCACAUACUAUAUAUAUAUACAUAUGUAGGCUUAAGUUUAUUGUUUAUUGCUCGAUUUGUAGGAGUUUUACUGUAAUUUGUAUUCGUAUUGUAUAAUAAUGUACGCUUGCACUCCUAGAACUACAAAAUAUGGACAACAAAGAAAAAAACAAAAUGGUUGGCUUCGCAAAUGGGGAGCAGCCAAUACAAGCAUAUCUAUAAGAAUCGCAUAAACAGCAGAACUUAGCCGCAAAAUCGAUUUGUAAAUUACAAUACAAUAAUUUAUAAUAACAAUCUAGCAACGCUCUCUGUUUUGUAAAUCUUAACAAGUUAUUUAAAUAAAAUUUAUUUAAAAUAAACGUAAUACGCCAUGAAAA